GUGGAUGCAUCAAACUCUAACGUC
rnacentral:siRNA from 1 species